rnacentral:rRNA from 1 species
AUGAACGCUGGCGGCGUGCUUAACACAUGCAAGUCGAACGGUGAAGGCGGAGCUUGCUCUGCUGGAUCAGUGGCGAACGGGUGAGUAACACGUGAGCAAUCUGCCCCUGACUCUGGGAUAAGCGCUGGAAACGGCGUCUAAUACUGGAUACGAGCUGCGAAGGCAUCUUCAGCAGCUGGAAAGAAUUUCGGUCAGGGAUGAGCUCGCGGCCUAUCAGCUUGUUGGUGAGGUAAUGGCUCACCAAGGCGUCGACGGGUAGCCGGCCUGAGAGGGUGACCGGCCACACUGGUACUGAGACACGGCCCAGACUCCUACGGGAGGCAGCAGUGGGAAAUAUUGCACAAUGGGCGAAAGCCUGAUGCAGCAACGCCGCGUGAGGGACGACGGCCUUCGGGUUGUAAACCUCUUUUAGCAGGGAAGAAGCGAAAGUGACGGUACCUGCAGAAAAAGCGCCGGCUAACUACGUG